ACUACACCCAUGAGUGCAACGACCAAGGUGAAGGACAGCCAGACAGGAAAGGUGACAAAAGCCACCCUGAGUGAUACUAGGCUGCCUGAACCUUUGGGUGGGAGUGGAAGUCCCUAGCACACAGCUUUGUGGAGACCUCCACUCUCACUCUUGGUGCAACUGACUUCCACUUCUUAUGCAGCCACUCCCAGGUGCAUGCUUCAGUGAGUGCCACAUGCCACUAGCUUUUACCAAUAACCAUAUUCUGGCUUAUUCUCCUACCCUCUGCUUCCAUUCAAUCUUCCCCACUAGGGGUUAUCAUUGGCAAUGGACGAGCUGAAGAUUUUGGAGCCUAUCCAUGGUUCAGGGCAGUAGAACUGGCUUCCUCUAUGGAUGCUUCCAGCGGACAACCACCAUCUCUGUGUCUCUCUCAUUCUCUCUUCACCUGCCAUAGCAAAGAAACAUCCCAGAAUCGACCCUUCUCCCAUUGAUCCAUGUCUCCCGUGUCACCAUGGGCAUGGCAUGUGAAGCAAUGUCCUGCAGAUGGAUUACCACCUUUUAUUUCUGCCAGCUAACAUCCUCCCAGCCUCCUGCCUACUACUGUAGACUCCGGUGUGACCCACCACUGGGGAGUUCACACCUAGAAAGAGAUGGAACUAAACUCUACUAUCAGCUGCUUCAAAAACCUUUUGUCUACGGCCUGGGAAGAUGUUCUCCAGCCCCUGAGCCUAUUGGUUGGAUAGAGAGAGACUGUGGUGGAAAUGAGGGUCUUGCUGGGAGGGGUCCAUGACUCCGGGGAAGACGCUUCUCAACGAGGGAUGUGUGGAAAGAAAACAGAAGUGAGAAAGAAGUUACCUUGUAUUAUGUAUUUUUACUACACUUUUCUUAAAAAUGGAGCAGUGGGAAAACUCUGAAAGAGAUUGACAUUUUUCUCAACAGGAAUCCAUACUUAACAGUUCUGGCUUUCAUUAAAUUUUGCUCUUUGGUACCUG
rnacentral:lncRNA from 1 species